rnacentral:lncRNA from 1 species
CGUUCGUCCCCGGACGUUGCUCUCUACCCCGGGAACGUCGAGACUGGAGCGCCCGAACUGAGCCACCUUCGCGGACCCCGAGAGCGGCGGCGCGACUCACCGCGGAGGCGCCCGGACGCGUCAAUGUCCCCCAGGGCAAGGACUGAACCAGGUCGCGAGGGUCUGUCUCCCGUCUGGGGAGCUGAACUGCCCGAGACACUGUCGCAGUCGCGGGGACUUGUCUGGAGCGGCGGGGUCUGAGCCCAAGUCCGAAGCCGCCGCUGCCGCCAGCGUCCCGUGCGCCUGCCGCCCCGGGACCAGCCGCGAAACUUCUUCUCGGGACGGAGACAGCGCUCGCCGCCCGGGCCGAGGCCCAGCCCAAUAGGAAGCACCUGAUCCACACUCUUUCUAGCCCCAGGGAUGCUCAGGAAAGCAGCCUUUCUUUAGGGCUGUCAUCUGUUCUGGGGAUCUGUUGCUGUUUCUUGGGCCCACAGAAUACACUCCACACCUCGGGACUCUAUAAUAUUGGACAAGGCUGGAAGGCCCAUUUGGCUCCUGCAGCCUCUUAUGCAGGAGGACCUCCUGAGGCUUCGAGCAGGAGCUGGUGCACACCUGGAGGAGAGUGCUGGUGAAUGGCAGGUGUGUGCCUCAGUGUCCUUGCUGCCUGGGUGUCAGCCCUGCUUCACCACUGGCCCUUUGUCUCUGUCCCCUCCACUGGCCUGUUGAAGCACAGAGACCCUCCGGGUACUUUCCUUCCUCUGGGCUUCCACUCAUGCUAUUCCCUGCUCCCUUCUUCUACCUGGAGACCCCCAUUCCUCCUCCUCCUCUGCUGCCCUCACCUCCACCUGGGCCCUCCCAGCUCCUGGGAGAUGGCUAAACCCCACUCCCCACCCGCUAGUCAUCCUCUUCAGCGGUCCUCCCAGAGCUGUCCUCGGCAUGGCAGCCUCCACAGCCCCUGGGUGUCACCCCCGGUUUCGUGUCUGCCUUGGACUCCAGACCUGCCCCUCCCAGGCUGGCCCAGAUGGAUCCUCUGCAGUGACUAACCCAAACCAGCACCAGGCAGGGACCCAAUAAACCUUCGUGAAUGGA